GCUCCCAUAGUUUAAUGGAUAAAACAAGAGACUUCUAAUCUCUAGAUUUAGGUUCGAUUCCUAGUGGGAGCACAA
rnacentral:tRNA from 3 species